rnacentral:lncRNA from 1 species
CUUUUCAGGUAAACCUUAAAACUUACUUAAAAAUAAGAAUUACUACCCCAAAUUUUGCGAACUGCUAGAAGGAUGGACUAUUUGAAUUUUUACCUCUUCUGUUGCUAAUAUAAAUAAGAUAGUAAAACUGCCAGUAAGUCAAUGAAGAAGAAAAUGACACAAUAAUCUGUGAAGAAAUAACUUGUCUUCCCUAUAAACUACCACCAGAUUUCUAAACUUUGUAAUUUUGAUUAUGAUUAAUUUUAGAAAUAAAGAACUUCAUUUUAAAACCCUGGGUACAAUGGAGUAUGGGAAUAUUAUCUAUAGUCUCACCAUGCUAACAAUGCAUUUCAAUGUAGUUAUGUAUCCUUUCAUCUGUUAAAUCUUUCCAUGUUACAUGUAUUACAUUACAA